rnacentral:rRNA from 1 species
UACGUAGGGGGCAAGCGUUGUUCGGAAUUACUGGGCGUAAAGCGCGUGAAGGCGGUUUGGUAAGUCAGAUGUGAAAGCCCCGGGCUCAACUUGGGAACUGCAUUUGAUACUGUCAGACUAGAGUACAGAAGAGGUGACUGGAAUUCCCAGUGUAGCGGUGAAAUGCGUAGAUAUCGGGAGGAACACCUGUGGCGAAGGCGGCCAUCUGGAAGAUUACUGACGCUGAGACGCGAAAGCGUGGGGAGCAAACAGG